CGACAAGGAGAGCUGAACUUGGGGAGCAAGAAGCCCCGAAAGAUCCUACCUGGAUUCCAAACAUUACCUAAUGGCUCUUCACGCAAGCUAUGGGUAACGUGGGAAUUAGCUGUCAUGAUGCUACCAGCAAAAGACUGUGGACUUGUCCCAUCCAUUGGUAAACUGCUGGCAUCUUCCUUGAUUGAAGGUGAAUCUGGAGUAACUGUUCUUUUGGUAAAUGCUGGAAAGGCAAGAGAAAAGACAAAAAUAAACCUAAAUGAAUAAAAUCCUUGGGCUGACAAAAUUUAUCUAGAAUUCUGAAUUAAAGAUGAUUAAAAGUGUUAUCUUCAUAGGUGAGUUUCUCCACAGUCUUUCCUAAUGCUCUUGUUGAGUAAAUUAUUGGGCAGAGUAAAAGUAUGGUGCUUAUUACAGAGAACUAGGUUUGGUAGAGUGGGGCUCAAGUAGGUUAAAAAAAUUAAUGUGCUCAUCUAAGUAUCUUGUUGAUUCCUAAAGAAGCACCUUUGACCCAUUGCUAUUUUCAAAUUUUAUAACAAAGAAAAACCCCAACUCAUUUGGCAACCUUUUGUUUAGCUUUUAAGAGCUAGAUGAAAUGAACCAGUUAAAUAUUAUGGCUGGCAAGUUACU